rnacentral:rRNA from 1 species
UACAGAGGCCUCGAGCGUUAGGCGGAAUCACUGGGCUUAAAGCGUGUGUAGGCGGACUUCUAAGUGCCUUGUGAAAUCCCACGGCUCACCCGUGGAACUGCUGGGCAUACUGGGAGUCUUGAGCCACCUAGGGGCGAGCGGAACAAAUGGUGGAGCGGUGAAAUGCGUAGAUAUCAUUUGGAGCGCCAACGGAGAAAUCAGCUCGCUGGGGGUGUGCUGACGCUGAGACACGAAAGCCAGGGGAGCGAACAGG